UACGGGGGGGGCAAGCGUUGUUCGGAAUUACUGGGCGUAAAGGGCUCGUAGGCGGCCAACUAAGUCAGACGUGAAAUCCCUCGGCUUAACCGGGGAACUGCGUCUGAUACUGGAUGGCUUGAGAUUGGGAGAGGGAUGCGGAAUUCCAGGUGUAGCGGUGAAAUGCGUAGAUAUCUGGAGGAACACCGGUGGCGAAGGCGGCAUCCUGGACCAACACUGACACUGAAACGCGAAAGCCAGGGGAGCAAACGGG
rnacentral:rRNA from 1 species